rnacentral:lncRNA from 1 species
ACCUUGUACAGCAUCUUUCUGAACUUCCCCGACCAUCCAAGCUUCCAUAAUACUAUCCGAACUUCUCCGAUAAUGAGCUGCUCCAUUUAUCUACCGAACUACUCCAAAUACUUUCUGAGCUUCGCUAUCAGCCGAUUUUCUAUAGUGAUCGACUAUUCUCCAAAUCUCUUCCAGACUUCUUCCGGCCACGGACGACUUUACUCCAAACUUCUUUCGGACUUCGUCAAUAUCCGAGCUGCUCUGACAAUAGGAUUUCUACAGUAACCAGACUCC